rnacentral:lncRNA from 11 species
ACUUGGGAGACGCAAGAGGAGAAGGCUGACCCUGGACUCUCGCUGGGAGAGGAAUCCCACAUCAUGUUGACUUCCAAUGCCCUCUGGCCUCUGCUUAUUUGGCUGUCCAUCCGCUGGCUGACCGUGCAAGCAACGAUGGAGCCCAAUUGCACUCAUGUUGCUGACUUCGGUAGCUGUCUAGGCAACGAUGCACUGGACUUCUGCCCCCAUGGGAUCAGCUGUGGCUGCAAAGACCAAAAGCCCUUCUGCAACUGCCCUUCUUACCAAAAAGGCUGGCAAAAUUAUUGGUACCUCGGUCCCAAAUGUGAGCAGCUUUGGAGUACCUUGGACCUGAUUAUCGUCGUCGUUCUGCCUGCAAUAGCCCUGUCUGUGACCAGUGCCGUGGCAGUGCAGUGGGUCAACUACUGCAAAACAAGGAGGGAAGAGGCGUAAAACGACGCAGGUAGUUAGCGAGACAUCCUUUCCCUUACCUGGUGUGUUUUUCUUUUGGCUGCAAUCCUUGGCAACAGCUCAGCUAGGGCUUGGAAAGAAUUUUGCCAGGCAGCUCGUGUAAGAUGAUAUAAGCCAAUCUCUUGGAAACCAGAAAUUGGGCACCCGUU